CACAAAUUAAGUCGCACCGUCGAUAUACCCGCAAGUUAGUAUACUUAAUACUUUUAAUUUAGGCUUAAA
rnacentral:tRNA from 1 species